rnacentral:miRNA from 1 species
GGAAGGGCGAGAGCAGACAGUUUU